ACCCAUGCAGUAACUAUCCAGUAGGAGGCUCUUACCUAUAAAUUCAGGUGGUGACUUUUUUUUUUUUCGCCAGGCAGUGUGUGUGUGUGUGUGUGUAUAUACACAAAAAAAAAGUCACCACCUGAAUUUAUAGGUAAGAGCCUCCUACUGGAUAGUUACUGCAUGGGU